UACGUAGGGUGCAAGCGUUGUCCGGAAUUAUUGGGCGUAAAGAGCUCGUAGGCGGCUUGUCACGUCUGCUGUGAAAACUCGGGGCUCAACCCCGAGCCUGCAGUGGAUACGGGCUAGCUAGAGUGCGGUAGGGGAGACUGGAAUCCCUGGUGUAGCGGUGAAAUGCGCAGAUAUCAGGAGGAACACCGGUGGCGAAGGCGGGUCUCUGGGCCGAUACUGACGCUGAGGAGCGAAAGCGUGGGGAGCGAACAGG
rnacentral:rRNA from 1 species